rnacentral:rRNA from 1 species
UACAUGCAAGUCGAACGGAGUAGCAAUACUCAGUGGCAGACGGGUGAGUAACAUGUGGGAAUCUUCCCUUUGGUGAGGAAUAACACGAGGAAACUUGUGCUAAUACCUCAUAAGUCUUUACGGAGAAAGCUUUAUGCGCCAAUGGAUGAGCCCGCAUUUGAUUAGUUUGUUGGUAGGGUAAUGGCCUACCAAGACUGUGAUCAAUAGCUGAUCUGAGAGGAUGAUCAGCCACAUUGGGACUGAGACACGGCCCAAACUCCUACGGGAGGCAGCAGUAGGGAAUAUUGCACAAUGGAGGAAACUCUGAUGCAGCGAUGCCGCGUGAGUGAAGAAGGCCUUUGGGUUGUAAAGCUCUUUCGUCGGGGAAGAAAAUGACUGUACCCGAAUAAGAAGGUCCGGCUAACUUCGUGCCAGCAGCCGCGGUAAUACGAAGGGACCUAGCGUAGUUCGGAAUUACUGGGCUUAAAGAGUUCGUAGGUGGUUAAAAUAGUUGGUGGUGAAAUCCCAGAGCUUAACUCUGGAACUGCCAUCAAAACUUUUUAGCUAGAGUUUGAUAGAGGAAAGCAGAAUUUCUAGUGUAGAGGUGAAAUUCGUAGAUAUUAGAAAGAAUACCAAUUGCGAAGGCAGCUUUCUGGAUCAUUACUGACACUGAGGAACGAAAGCAUGGGUAGCGAAGAGGAUUAGAUACCCUCGUAGUCCAUGCCGUAAACGAUGUGUGUUAGACGUUGGAAAUUUAUUUUCAGUGUCGCAGCGAAAGCAUUAAACACACCGCCUGGGGAGUACG